UCGAGGAUCUUCGGCAAUGGGCGCAAGCCUGACCGAGCGACGCCGCGUGUGCGAUGAAGGCCUUCGGGUUGUAAAGCACUGUCGAGGGGGAGGAAAGCCCGCAAGGGCCUGACCUAUCCCUGGAGGAAGCACGGGCUAAGUUCGUGCCAGCAGCCGCGGUAAGACGAACCGUGCGAACGUUGUUCGGAUUCACUGGGCUUAAAGGGCGCGUAGGCGGGCGGACCAGUCGGCGGUGAAAUCUCACGGCCCAACCGUGAAACAGCCCCCGAUACUAGCCGCCUCGAGGAAGGUAGGGGCAUGUGGAACUUCCGGUGGAGCGGUGAAAUGCGUAGAUAUCGGAAGGAACGCCGGUGGCGAAAGCGGCAUGCUGGGCCUUUCCUGACGCUGAGGCGCGAAAGCCAGGGGAGCGAACGGGAUUAGAUACCCCCGUAGUCC
rnacentral:rRNA from 1 species